rnacentral:rRNA from 1 species
UACGUAGGGGGCAAGCGUUAUCCGGAUUUACUGGGUGUAAAGGGUGCGUAGACGGUUAGGCAAGUCUGAAGUGAAAGGCAUGGGCUCAACUCAUGAACUGCUUUGGAAACUGUCAGACUAGAGUGCAGGAGGGGUAAGCGGAAUUCCUGGUGUAGCGGUGAAAUGCUUAGAUAUCAGGAGGAACACCGGCGGCGAAGGCGGCUUACUGGACUGUAACUGACGUUGAGGCCCGAAAGCCAGGGGAGCGAAC